UACAGAGGGUGCGAGCGUUGUUCGGAAUUACUGGGCGUAAAGCGCGCGCAGGCGGCUUUUUAAGUCCGACGGUGAAAUGCCGGGGCUCAACCCCGUGCCCGCCGCGGAUACUGGGAGGCUGGAGACAUGUAGAGGCAAGCGGAAUUCCGGGUGUAGCGGUGGAAUGCGUAGAGAUCCGGAAGAACACCGGAGGCGAAGGCGGCUUGCUGGGCAUGGUCUGACGCUGAGGCGCGAAAGCGUGGGGAGCGAACAGG
rnacentral:rRNA from 1 species